rnacentral:rRNA from 1 species
AAUCAACGCUGGCGGCGUGCCUCAGACAUGCAAGUCGAACGAUUAAAGCUCUCUUCGGAGAGUGUAUAGAGUGGCGCACGGGUGAGUAACACGUAAGUAAUCUACCCUCGAGUGGGGAAUAACGUCCGGAAACGGACGCUAAUACCGCAUAAUGCAGCGGCACCGCAAGGUGACAGUUGUUAAAGAUUUUAUCGCUUGAGGAGGAGCUUGCGGCAGAUUAGCAGUUGGUAAGGUAAUGGCUUACCAAGGCUACGAUCUGUAACCGGUCUAAGAGGACGGUCGGUCACACUGACACUGAAUAACGGGUCAGACUCCUACGGGAGGCAGCAGUCGGGAAUUUUGGGCAAUGGGCGAAAGCCUGACCCAGCAACGCCGCGUGAAGGAUGAAGUA